rnacentral:rRNA from 1 species
CCAAUCGCGUAUAUUAAAGUUGUUGCAGUUAAAAAGCUCGUAGUUGAACUUCGGGAUCAAUGGAUCGGUCAUGCCAUCGGUAUGUACUGGUCUCAUUGGUUCUCACCUUCUAAGGAACCUUAAUGUCAUUCAUUUGAUGUUUUGGGGAAUUAGGACUGUUACCUUGAAAAAAUUAGAGUGUUUAAAGCAGGCUAACGCUUGAAUACAUUAGCAUGGAAUAAUGAAAUAGGACAUCGCAUUCUAUUUUGUUGGUUUCUAGGAUCGAUGUAAUGAUUAAUAGGGAUAGUUGGGGGCAUUAGUAUUCAAUUGUCAGAGGUGAAAUUCUUGGAUUUAUUGAAGACUAACUACUGCGAAAGCAUUUGCCAAGGAUGUUUUCAUUAAUCAAGAACGAAAGUUAGGGGAUCGAAGACGAUCAGAUACCGUCGUAGUCUUAACCAUAAACUAUGCCGACUAGGGAUCGGAUGAUGUUGAUUUUUUAAUGACUCAUUCGGCACCUUACG